AUGGGGGAGCGGGUUACCGCACGGGCGCUGGGAGGGAAGCCGCGCUUACGCCGGCGGGGGGGUCUCCUCGCGCGCAAGUGCGUCCAGGAUCGCAGCCUGGAUAGCCCUCCCCCUGCCCCCUCCAGCUCAGAACCAGCCGGGACGGUUGCGCCGUGAGCAAGGCUGGCUGCGCCCGAGGCGAAACGGGAAGCGGGGGCCGCGCAGCUUGCCCUGCCCGCCGGCGGUGGAUCGUCUUCCUUUCCCGGGCAGAGGCAGCGGCCGGAGCCGGACGCCGCGGCGAGGGAGCCGGCUUCUUUCCAAGAUCGGCUCCGGAGAAGGACGCGGAUGGCACGAAAUGGAAAGAGGAAGAUUUUCACCUGGAGACGACAUUUCUUGAAUUGUACACAAGAUUUUUCACACUUUUUUUUUUCCUCUGCCACGACCCUCCCUCCCAAAUUAUGGAAGCUGCCAGGGACAGGUCUUGCUCAAGGAAAGCUUCCGAAGAGAUGUGGCAAGAGCCCAGAAUAACUGGGAGGAGGCUGGGCCAGCUGUGUGCACACAUGUGCCUGUGCAGACACACGCAAACACACCGUGCGCCUGCAGGGAUUGUAUGUCCGAGCAAGCCUAAACAGGCAUUUGCAGGAAAUCAAGAUAGACAAAGCAGGGAAGGAAUGCACGGCGGCCGAAGCCCGAACUCGUGUGCAGAGGUCAAGCCCAAAUAAUGGGCCACCCUCCCGUUUGUGGCCAGCCUGUCCAGAGCCUGAAAAAGUUCCUCAUUUAUUUAUUUAUUU